CUUUCUUUGCUGGCGACCGGCGCACGGGUGAGUAACACGUAUCCAACCUGCCCUUUACUCGGGGAUAGCCUUUCGAAAGAAAGGUUAAUACCCGAUAGCAUAAUGAUUCCGCAUGGUUUCAUUAUUAAAGGAUUCCGGUAAAGGAUGGGGAUGCGUUCCAUUAGGUUGUUGGUGAGGUAACGGCUCACCAAGCCUUCGAUGGAUAGGGGUUCUGAGAGGAAGGUCCCCCACAUUGGAACUGAGACACGGUCCAA
rnacentral:rRNA from 1 species